GACGAACGCUGGCGGUGUGCUUAACACAUGCAAGUCGAACGGAAAGGCCCUGCUUUUGUGGGGUGCUCGAGUGGCGAGCGGGUGAGUAACACGUGAGUAACCUGCCCUUGACUUUGGGAUAACUUCAGGAAACUGGGGCUAAUACCGGAUAGGAGCUCCUGCUGCAUGGUGGGGGUUGGAAAGUUUCGGCGGUUGGGGAUGGACUCGCGGCUUAUCAGCUUGUUGGUGGGGUAGUGGCUUACCAAGGCUUUGACGGGUAGCCGGCCUGAGAGGGUGACCGGCCACAUUGGGACUGAGAUACGGCCCAGACUCCUACGGGAGGCAGCAGUGGGGAAUAUUGCACAAUGGGCGGAAGCCUGAUGCAGCAACGCCGCGUGCGGGAUGACGGCCUUCGGGUUGUAAACCGCUUUCGCCUGUGACGAAGCGUGAGUGACGGUAAUGGGUAAAGAAGCACCGGCUAACUACGUG
rnacentral:rRNA from 1 species